UGGCCUUAUCAAGUUGAAACACCGAUUCCCGUACUAUCACCGAAGUUAAGCAACGUCGAACCUGGUCAGUAACAAGAUGGGUGACAGCUUGGGAAUAACAUGUGCUGUAAG